AGAGUUUGAUCCUGGCUCAGGAUGAACGCUAGCUACAGGCUUAACACAUGCAAGUCGAGGGGCAUCGGGAAGAAAGCUUGCUUUCUUUGCCGGCGACCGGCGCACGGGUGAGUAACACGUAUCCAACCUGCCCUUUACUCGGGGAUAGCCUUUCGAAAGAAAGAUUAAUACCCGAUGGGAUAAUUAUUCCGCAUGGUUUGAUUAUUAAAGGAUUCCGGUAAAGGAUGGGGAUGCGUUCCAUUAGGUUGUUGGUGAGGUAACGGCCCACCAAGCCUUCGAUGGAUAGGGGUUCUGAGAGGAAGGUCCCCCACAUUGGAACUGAGACACGGUCCAAACUCCUACGGGAGGCAGCAGUGAGGAAUAUUGGUCAAUGGGCGCUAGCCUGAACCAGCCAAGUAGCGUGAAGGAUGAAGGCUCUAUGGGUCGUAAACUUCUUUUAUAUAAGAAUAAAGUGCAGUAUGUAUACUGUUUUGUAUGUAUUAUAUGAAUAAGGAUCGGCUAACUCCGUGCCAGCAGCCGCGGUAAUACGGAGGAUCCGAGCGUUAUCCGGAUUUAUUGGGUUUAAAGGGAGCGUAGGUGGACUGGUAAGUCAGUUGUGAAAGUUUGCGGCUCAACCGUAAAAUUGCAGUUGAUACUGUCAGUCUUGAGUACAGUAGAGGUGGGCGGAAUUCGUGGUGUAGCGGUGAAAUGCUUAGAUAUCACGAAGAACUCCGAUUGCGAAGGCAGCUCACUGGACUGCAACUGACACUGAUGCUCGAAAGUGUGGGUAUCAAACAGGAUUAGAUACCCUGGUAGUCCACACAGUAAACGAUGAAUACUCGCUGUUUGCGAUAUACAGUAAGCGGCCAAGCGAAAGCAUUAAGUAUUCCACCUGGGGAGUACGCCGGCAACGGUGAAACUCAAAGGAAUUGACGGGGGCCCGCACAAGCGGAGGAACAUGUGGUUUAAUUCGAUGAUACGCGAGGAACCUUA
rnacentral:rRNA from 1 species